rnacentral:rRNA from 1 species
GAUGAACGCUGGCGGCGUGCUUAACACAUGCAAGUCGAACGGAAAGGCCAGUUCUUGCACUGGUGCCCGAGUGGCGAACGGGUGAGUAACACGUGGGUGAUCUGCCCUGCACUUUGGGAUAAGCCUAGGAAACUGGGUCUAAUACCAGAUAGGACCAUGCUUUGGAUGGUGUGGUGGACAGUUUUUUCGGUGUGGGAUGAGCUUGCGGCCUAUCAGCUUGUUGGUGGGGUAAUGGCCUACCAAGGCGUCGACGGGUAGCCGGCCUGAGAGGGUGUACGGCCACACUGGGACCGAGAGACGGCACAGACGCCGACGGGUGGCAGAAGGGGGGAAUAUUGAACAAGGGACGCAGGCCUGAUGCAGCGAGGCCGCGGGUGGGAAGACGGUUUUCGGGUGGAAAAAAAGUUUCGCAACUGACGAAGCGUUUUGUGACGGUAGGUUGAGAAGAAGCACCGGCUAACUACGUG